CAAGGAAUUUUCCGCAAUGGGCGCAAGCCUGACGGAGCAACGCCGCGUGGAGGACGACGGCCUUCGGGUUGUAAACUCCUUUUGGGGGUGAGGAGACUGACAGUAGCCCGCGAAUAAGCCCCGGCUAACUCUGUGCCAGCAGCCGCGGUAAGACAGAGGGGGCAAGCGUUGUCCGGACUGACUGGGCGUAAAGCGCACGCAGGCGGCACGCGAGGUGGGGGGUGAAAGCAGCCGGCUCAACCGGUUGAGGUCCUCCCAAACGCGCGAGCUCGAGCGAUGCAGAGGGUGGUGGAAUUGCCGGUGUAGUGGUGAAAUGCGUAGAGAUCGGCAGGAACACCGAGGGGGAAACCAGCCACCUGGGCAUCGGCUGACGCUGAAGUGCGAAAGCGUGGGGAGCGAACCG
rnacentral:rRNA from 1 species